UUUCUAUUUUUUGAUGGUUGUUGUUUUCACAAGGCUGGAGAUGAGAUCCUCUCUGUCAAUAAUUUGAUUUUAAAUGAAGCGACACAUGAGGAGGUUGUCAAUCUACUAAGAUCAAGACGAGUAUUGGUUUUAAAAGUUAAAAGUACAGGGAAAGUCCCUUGUAAAAUACUUGAUUGUAUCAGAUGGGAAGAAGUACAGGACAAAGAGAAUGUCUACUAUCACCCUGACCUACUGGUAA